CUAAAUUCUCUAAUUCUUUUCUUCUUUAGGUCUUCAUUUUCUUGUUCUUUCCUUCAGAUGGAUUUCGAACAAUCAGUCCAUGAAAUUCAGGCUUAUUCUUGAAAUUCAGGGACAGAUUUUUCGACUUCGUAUUACCAUUUUACAUAUAUUAGAUAGAUUUUCUUAAGGUUUUAAGGGAUGGAUGAAACCAAGAAAACCGAGAAACAUCUCAUAUCCCCCGCUGCUUUUGUGGAAGGGGGAGUACAAGAUGCCUGUGAUGAUGCUUGCAGUAUAUGUCUAGAAGCCUUCACUGAAAGCGAUCCUUCAACGGUGACAACUUGCAAGCACGAGUUCCAUCUUCAGUGCAUCCUCGAAUGGGCUCAGCGAAGUUCCCAGUGCCCCAUGUGUUGGCAAGCCAUAAGCCUGAAGGAUGCUACCAGCCAGGAACUCUUUACGGCAACAGAGCAGGAGAGAAACUUCCAACUUCGUCCAUCCCGAAAUGCCACAAUAUUUCAUCAUCCCACCUUGCGCAAUUUUGACUUACCACAUUUAUCAGUUGGUGCAAAUGAUUCCGAACUUGAAGAGCGUAUACUUCAGCAUUUAGCUGCUGCUGCCGCAAUGGGAAGAGCACAUCAUUUCGCUAGGAGGGAAAGCCAGCGGACAUCUUCAAAUCAAGGUCAUUCACCAUACAUGUUCUCCCCCAACUCUGACGUUGGUCCAAGUGGUCCUGUUUCUGGCAUUACUUCCCAAAGAAGAAGAGAACAUGAGCGAAAUCCACUAGUAACUGGAGUUAGUCCGUCAGCACCUCUUGUACGGAAUGGAGAAGAACCUCCUCAAUCUGGAUCGAUGUUGCCUUCUGUUCGAUCUGACCAGAUUCCUGGCCAAGCGAGAUCUAGCAAUUUAGCCUCCAGCCGGCGUCGAACCUCUUUCAGUAAUACUAGUUCUGCCAGUCGAUCUUCCUCGAUCAAUCGAGAUAGGGCUGGACCAUCUGAUUUCCAAUCGUUUUCGGAGUCUCUAAAAUCUCGACUCAAUUCAGUCUCAAUGAGAUACAAAGAGUCGAUCUCAAAGGGUACAAGAGGAUGGAAGGAAAGGCUAUUCUCUAGGAGCAGUUGCAUUAAAGAUCUUGGUUCAGAAGUUACAAGAGAGGUAAACGCUGGACUUGCUAGCGUAUCACGAAUGAUGGAGCGCCUUGAGACCAGGGAAAACAGUAGAUCAACUGAUUCCUCGGUAUUAAAUAACUUGGAUAUGGAAGAUACAGAUGUGAGUAACCAAGGAGUUGGGGAAGGUCAUGCUAACACCAGCCCUAUCAGUGAUAGGAAUACAUCAGUUUCUUGUGCUGCACGUCCUAGUCCAGUUUAAGCUGUCCUCCAUACUUCAAAAAUGACGCUCUUCACCUUUCAUUUUUCAGCUUGGCAUGUUACUUGAUUAUUCAUCGUGUAUGGUUUGAACAACCAUAACCAAUUGGACACCUUAUUCAAACCAGCUGUGAGAGGAAAUAACUAAGAGUAACUUGUUUUUUGCCAGGUUAACGGAAAGGAGAUUCCGAGGGAGUCAACACAGUUCUCGUCAUCUUCUCUAAGAUGCAGACAAGGGAUUUGAUUUGAAAAGCAUUUUGAUAGUUGUGGUCAGAUUUGGAUUGUAUAAAUUAUGUUUACAAACAAAUUAAAAAAUCAAAAAAAGAAAAAAAGAAGCUUCCGCCCGAUUGAGUCAUACAUUUGUUUUUCAAGUUUGGUAUUUACUUGUAAAUUUGUUAAUAUAAUCUGGAAUUUGGUUUGGAGUCUGUCUUUCUAUGUA